rnacentral:lncRNA from 1 species
AUGGAACUGGAGGUUGGUCUCUGGCUCUCCAUAUUUGGAAGCAAAACAAGUCACUGCCAAUCACACAACCCUGACGGUCUGGUCACUCCGAAGGACAAAGCUAUAACUGGUGAACUCAGCAUGCACUGUCUGCAAUGCAGAAGAGAGCUCAAGAUACACUGUCUGCAAUGCAGAACUCAAGAUACACUGUCUGCAAUGCAGAACUCAAGACACACUGUCUGCAAUGCAGAACUCAAGAUACACUGUCUGCAAUGCAGAACUCAAGGUACACUGUCUGCAAUGCAGAACUCAAGAUACACUGUCUGCAAUGCAGAACUCAAGAUACACUGUCUGCACUGCAGUAGAGAACUCAGGAUGCAUUGUCUCAGUGCAGAAGAGAAGACAUUUCUAGUCUAGAACACUUUCUUCUGCCUUUUAAAAGCCCUCCUGAGUCUUUUAUAAGAUCCCUUCCCUACCUUAGGGAUAGUAUGUCACCCCUCCAACAAUUGUUUUCA